GCCUGACGCAGCGACGCCGCGUGGGUGACGAAGGCCUUCGGUUGUAAAGCCUGUGGGGUAGAACGAACUGGCAUCGGGCUAAUAUCCCGGUGUCUUGACGGUACUGCCUUAGCAAGCAUCGGCUAACUCUGUGCCAGCAGCCGCGGUAAGACAGAGGAUGCGAACGUUGCUCGGAUUUACUGGGCGUAAAGCGCGUGUAGGCGGUCUCGUUAGUCGGGUGUGAAAGCCCCGGGCUCAACCCGGGAAGUGCACCCGAUACUGCGAGACUGGGGUACUGAAGAGGAGAGCGGAAUUCCCGGUGUAGAGGUGAAAUUCGUAGAUAUCGGGAGGAACACCAGUGGCGAAGGCGGCUCUCUGGGCAGAUACCGACGCUGAGACGCGAAAGCGUGGGGAGCAAACAGGAUUAGAUACCCUGGUAGUCCACGCUGUAAACGAUGACGACUGGGUGUUGCAGGUAUUGACCCCUGCGGUGCCGAAGCCAACGCGUUAAGUCGUCCGCCUGGGAAGUUCGGCCGCAAGGCUAAAACUCAAAGG
rnacentral:rRNA from 1 species